rnacentral:rRNA from 1 species
ACUCCUACGGGAGGCAGCAGUGGGGAAUAUUGCACAAUGGGCGCAAGCCUGAUGCAGCCAUGCCGCGUGUAUGAAGAAGGCCUUCGGGUUGUAAAGUACUUUCAGCAGUGAGGAAGGUGGAUAUGUUAAUAGCAUAUUCUAUUUGUACGUUAGCUGCAGAAGAAGCACCGGCUAACUCCGUGCCAGCAGCCGCGGUAAGUACGGAGGGUGCGAGCGUUAAUCGGAAUUACUGGGCGUAAAGCGCAUGCAGGUGGUUGUUAAGUCAGAUGUGAAAGCCCGGGCUCAAUCUCGGAAUUGCAUUUGAAACUGGCAACUAGAGUACUGUAGAGGGGUAGAAUUUCGAGUGUAGCGGUGAAAUGCGUAGAGAUCUAG